rnacentral:lncRNA from 1 species
AACAUCUUCCAGAUACAUACACACACACACACACACUUCAACCUUUAUUUUUUUCCACCUUCCUUGGGGGCAAAACCAUAAUUUAUUUAUUAUCUGUUUUGUUUUUUUGUUUUAAAACCCAUACUAGUUGUGAUUCAUAAAGAGGUGUUUUCAAAUGAUCACAUUGCAAUCACAUCAGCUGUUUCCUGAACCUUGAAAAAAUGUAUUUCUGGUGCUGCUGUAUUUUUGAUAAAUUUCCUGGAACUACUCUCAACAUUGUGCCACCACUUCGUUGUUCAAGAUUCCCUGAUGACUCGUUUUCGGGAGUGAUACGUAGAAAAAAUUUUCAGAGCAGAAGAAAAUGAUCAUGGAAGGAUAAAAGUUUUCAACAAAACCAGUAUGUGUAACCAAGGCCUUCCCACAGGAUUACCACCUGUAACAAAA